GAUGAACGCUAGCGGGAGGCCUAACACAUGCAAGCCGAGCGGUAUUUGUUCUUCGGAACAGAGAGAGCGGCGCACGGGUGCGGAACACGUGUGCAACCUGCCUUUAUCUGGGGGAUAGCCUUUCGAAAGGAAGAUUAAUACCCCAUAAUAUAUUGAGUGGCAUCAUUUGAUAUUGAAAACUCCGGUGGAUAGAGAUGGGCACGCGCAAGAUUAGAUAGUUGGUGAGGUAACGGCUCACCAAGUCAAUGAUCUUUAGGGGGCCUGAGAGGGUGAUCCCCCACACUGGUACUGGGACACGGACCAGACUCCUACGGGAGGCAGCAGUGAGGAAUAUUGGACAAUGGGUUAGCGCCUGAUCCAGCCAUCCCGCGUGAAGGACGACGGCCCUAUGGGUUGUAAACUUCUUUUGUAUAGGGAUAAACCUACUCUCGUGAGAGUAGCUGAAGGUACUAUACGAAUAAGCACCGGCUAACUCCGUG
rnacentral:rRNA from 1 species